rnacentral:rRNA from 1 species
GGAGUUAGCCGGUGCUUCUUCUGUGAGUGAUGUCCUUCCUGCCGGUUAUUGACCCGCAGGCCUUCUUCCUCACUGAAAGUGCUUUACAACCCGAAGGCCUUCUUCACACACGCGGCAUGGCUGGAUCAGGGUUGCCCCCAUUGUCCAAUAUUCCCCACUGCUGCCUCCCGUAGGAGUCUGGGCCGUGUCUCAGUCCCAGUGUGGCUGAUCAUCCUCUCAGACCAGCUACGGAUCGUCGCCUUGGUGAGCCGUUACCUCACCAACCAGCUAAUCCGACAUAGGCUCAUCCGAUAGCGCGAGGCCCGAAGGUCCCCCGCUUUCCCCCGUAGGGCGUAUGCGGUAUUAGCCUGGGUUUCCCCCAGGUUAUCCCCCACUACCGGGCAGAUUCCUAUGCAUUACUCACCCGUCCGCCGCUCGCCACCAGGGAGCAAGCUCCCCGUGCUGCCGCUCGACUUGCAUGUGUUAGGUCGUCGCCGCCACGCGUUCUACUACUGAGCCACUAAUACAAACUACUGA